AUACGGAGGGUACGAACGUUAAUCGGAAUUACUGGGCGUAAAGCGCGCGUAGGCGGCUUGGUAAGUGGGAUGUGAAAGCCCCGGGCUCAACCUGGGAACUGCGUUUGAUACUGGCGGGCUAGAGUCCGGGAGAGGGUAGUGGAAUUCCCAGUGUAGAGGUGAAAUUCGUAGAUAUUGGGAAGAACACCAGUGGCGAAGGCGGCUACCUGGACCGGUACUGACGCUGAGGUGCGAAAGCGUGGGAGCAAACAGGAUUAGAAACCCGGGUAGUCC
rnacentral:rRNA from 1 species